CUUCAGAAACCAACGAGUGACGUCACGGUGACUACGUCCAUAUUUUUAUACAGUCUAUGUCGGCGACGCGACUGACGAUGUAAAUUUGCGAUAUAUGGAUCAUUCACAUGAAGUGAAAAUAUUCAACUUGAGCAAAAAAUUUGCGCGUAUCACAGGACUCUGCAGAGUGUUGUGAGUGGAGAACCAGAGGGACGGAAACAGACUGCUGCUGAGCGCCAAGGAACUUUUGUUUGUCCAAUUAGUCGUCCAGAACCCAAAGAUAUUCAGUUUACAAUGAUAUAAAUCAGAUCAUUUUUGAUUGAUAAGUAACCUAAUUUAUUAAUCAACUCAUUGUUUCAGCUCCACAGUGAACCUUUGGUGGUUAAACCAUGAAGGGCAGAUUCCUCACAGCCGCUGUCUGUAAACCAGCAGCGAGACGACGGCCACCAUCAUACCGAUGAGGAACAUCCCGGCGCUCAAACCCUCCACGACGCCACCUAGAGGCUCUGACGCAGAACGACACACACGUCAAUAAACAGGAGGUUUUGGGUUUCAGCGGUCCGUCACAGAAGCCGCCGUAGCUGUCACUCAGGUAGAGGUCGUCGUCAUGGUAACGAUCGCAAGCCCCACCCAGCCGGUCUCCUCCUGCCCCCAGGUUCACCUCCACCACCUGAUCAAUUCAUUGAUUGAUUGAAUUGACACACAAAGUCAACACAAACAUACUCGGCCACGAUGACGGCAAAGUAUCGGACGGCUCCGUUUGCGUCGCUGAACCAGGAGCAGUUGAAGCGGAACAAGAUGGA